AUUCCAGCUCCAAUAGCGUAUAUUAAAGUUGUUGCAGUUAAAAAGCUCGUAGUUGAAUUUCUGGUGGGAGUGUACAGUCCGACACUGAGUGUUGGUUCUUGUGUGUCUCCGGCCAUCCUUGGAGUGAAUCUGUCUGGCAUUUAGUUGUUGGGCAGAGUAUCUCCAUCGUUUACUGUGAGGAAAGGAAAGUGUUCAAAGCAGGCUUACGCCGUUGAAUCUUUUAGCAUGGAAUAAUAAGAUAGGAUCUUGAUACUAUUUUGUUGGUUUGCGCACCAAGGUAAUGAUUAAUAGGGACAGUUGGGGGUAUUCGUAUUUCAUUGUCAGAGGUGAAUUUCUUGGAUUUUUGAAAGACGAACUACUGCGAAAGCAUUUACCAAGAAUGUUUUCAUCG
rnacentral:rRNA from 1 species